GUUAUUUUACAGCCCUUUAAUGAUCAACUCAAUGACCGUAACAGCAAAUCAUUCCAAGAUCUUUCUAAAAGAGUUUGUGCCACGUAUGAUGACAUCUACCUUUCUAAAUACCGUCAGACCUACAUGGGUUGCAUUGUCAUUUCAUUCAGUCCAGUCAUAAUACGAUUGAAUGGUACUGAAGCAAACGUGACCAUGACGUUUAAUAAAACCACACCAGCUGUCCAAAUCCCAACAGCUGCAGA